ACAAAUGCAGAGAGGAGACAGGCGAGCCUUCACCUCCGGUAGAGCGAUCCCAGAUAGCUGAGAAAAUGAACUCAAAUCUGAACCAAGUUUGGACGAGACCAAAAAACCACAGACGCAGGGGAGCGCAGAGCAGCGCAGAAAUGACAGUUACCACUGCGUGUUGAUAAGCCGUAAUAAUCGGGCAAAUCGACUGGAAAACAGAAGAAGACGCAUUUAUUUGUAUGUUUCACGAUGUGAGUGAUUUAUAUAUUUGAAUUGUAAGACAGUCGUUGGCACCGCAAGAUCCCUCACCCCCUUCAAAGGAACUUCAAUUCAUCCCGUUGUCAAUCAACGAUAGAAAGCCCGACAGCACUGCCUUACCUAACGAUAAUUAAGUAUUUUAGGACCAUGUGGGACAUUUAUAAAAGAUGGAGCACCUUAUUGGUUUGCUCCCUCUCUACACCACUACUCAAAAUAAGGACACUUGUCACAGUUUGAUCAGAGCUCGCUGAAAGUUGCUGUGCGGCAAACUGUGAGACUCCCAUGGGCCAUACUGAAUGGCUUUUGGCGCUCUAACAGGUGACGAGCAUGGAGAUCAAUUAAACAGCCGGUAGUGAAGUCCAAAAUGUAUUUAUACAGACGCUAAGGUAUAAUAGGAUCCCUCAGCCUCGUCUAGACUACAGACCAUUAAGACCAACUUGAGCAGGCUAUGGGACCUGGGCAUGGUUACAGCACCACACUCCUGCUGGGAACUGAGAGCCUGCAGGCCCUCUCAGAGCAACAGAUGGAGGUGCACAACAGGAUAUUACCGCUAAGAGGAUUCCUCUUCCUUUGCCUGUCGCUCUGGAGUUUUUUUUUUCGUGGGCAGACUCCUUCAUCAUGAUGACCCAUGGCUUACUGGAACUGUUGUGGUGAGCCAAAAGAUGUUGGUUAAGCCCUCUCAAACCUGCCACUACCCAUGUUGACCUGCUUGGCGCACAGAGAAAUCCCUGAUCAAGCCCACUGUGAAGAACAUUAAAAUAAGCAUCCAGGUGGGAUUAGUAAGUCCUCGCAGUGUCUUGUAUCUGAACUCUGACCUUUAACACAGCUCUUUGAGGUAGGUGCCAACUUUGUGUGUGUGAGUGUAAAUGGCCCGCUGUCAGCAUGACUCACCUUUACCUGUGCCUAUAGUAAAACGCCUACAAGUAGCACUGUGCAUUUCCCACUGCGGUUUCCUGUUUGGAUUUUUAUUUUUUCCAGUGACGUGCGCAGCCUCAAGAGAAGGUGGUGCUCAGGAACUGCAGAUGCAGUCUGAAGCGAAAUGACAACGUACUUAUUACUGUGUGCUGCCAAAGAUGUUUCAGCUCCUUAAAAAUUCAUUUGAACAAGUGAGAACUUGAUUCAUGCUUGUUGCGUCCUUGUCGGCGGUAAUCGCUGUGGCAGAUAACAUCACAAGUGUCAGUGUUUUUCCAGACGGUCAGGCAUACAGACAACGCCUCUCAUUAUCUUUUAUUAAGACAACAAAUGGGUACAUGUGGAAAGGUGUGACCAGUCAUUUGUUUACAGCCUCAGACUGCAUUGUGCCUCUGAAUGGCAAAAUGAAUUGGUUCGAUAUAGAGAGCAGUAUCACAUAUCAAUAAUUUAAUUAUAUUGCAGCUGAAAUGUAGUGAUUAAUGUAAAUUAAUGUAACAGGAAGCCUGUGGAGAAAGUGUUUGAGAAGUUGUAUUUAUUAUGCGGAAAGUGUGUAUAGCAUCUGAGCAGAUUUUCUGGGACUGUUUUAAGUUGCAUGGUAUUACAUGUUACAUAUUAUUUACAUUUCUGUGCCAUUUCCUCCUGAGCUUGCAUUAAUUUCUAAUUUAUACAUUUUUUCUAUCUUCCUACUGAAUCACGCAGUUUGUAAAGCUUUCAUGAUAAAGAUUAAAUGUGGUAUUGUGAUGUAUCAGUCACUGAUCUAAUGUUGUAUUCAUAACUGUAAUUAUAUGCACUGAAUGUAAAUGUGGUGGCUGUGCCUUUUGGCAGUUGCUGAGCCUGUGGAAAGUUUUAUUUAUUUAUUACUUAUUAAAUGGCACAGUUUACAAGCUGUCCUGUUUUGCAUGA